rnacentral:rRNA from 1 species
UACGUAGGUGGCAAGCGUUAUCCGGAAUUAUUGGGCGUAAAGCGCGCGCAGGUGGUUUCUUAAGUCGGGUGUGAAAGCCCCGGGCUCAACCUGGGAAUUGCAUUCGAGACUGCGUAGCUAGGGUGCGGAAGAGGGAAGCGGAAUUUCCGGUGUAGCGGUGAAAUGCGUAGAUAUCGGAAGGAACACCAGUGGCGAAAGCGGCUUCCUGGUCCAGCACCGACGUUCAGGCACGAAAGCGUGGGGAGCAAACAGG